rnacentral:lncRNA from 1 species
GUUGCCGCUGCCCAGGUGAGUGCCGAGCCGGCGUCUACGGUGGCAUGUCAGAUACGCGUGGGGCUGUGGCAUGGAUGGCAUCUGACCCCUCCGUCUUCACAUCACACCCCACAGUCGAGUGACAGUGACCAACCCACAGAGACCCUCGGUUCCUCCAACAAGUCACGGUCCCCCAGCCCUGGCGGCCUGGGGCCUCCCCGUCCUCCAUGGGAUGCGCCCGGCUAAAUGCCAUCCUUCUGCGCACUCCGCCUGGGGCCCUGAGGCAGUGAGCCAGAAAUGCUGGGGUGCCCAGUGGACUGGACAUGCCCACAUGCCCCCUCAACCGUCCCGCUGGGCUGUCCCGGCUGGAGCCCAGGGCCUUGUCCCCAACGCUUCCUGGACGAGGCCUGGUCUGUGGUUUCUGUGGCCCAGAGGACUUCACACGGGCCUGAGCUGCUCCAUCCUGACCACCUGCAGGUCACAGGUCACCAGGGGCCGCGGUGACCUGGCCGCCUCCACGUGGUGGGGGUUUUUGGCCUUCCUGGGAGUGGUGUAGUGCCGCCGGACCACCUUCUGCCAUCAAUGCACCUGCGACCCGGCUGGGACCUCGCAGGACGUGCCCCCAUGGCCCACGCGAGAGCCAGGAGAAAGCCCUGAAUGAGGAACAGGGAUCCAGCUGGGAGGGGGCAGAGGGGCCCUAGGCGGAGGCAGAGGGAGAGUGGCCGGAAGGAACGUGAUGGCUGUGAAGCUCCAGCCCCGAGCCUCCAGCUUGGGAGGGUCAGUGGAGACGGAAGAGAAGGAAACCAGCCAGGGCGCUGGGCCGAGGGCGCUUCCCACGGCCCCGAGUCAGGCUGAGCGCAUGUGGGCAGGGGGACAGGCAGGGACGGAGAGCCACGGGGCCGCGUCGAUGACCCAGAAGAGCCGUGGCUGCUCAGACCUCACACCUGGCGCAGGUGAAGCGCGGACAAGACAAGGAAAAGCCAAGACGGCCCCCCGUGCUCGGCCCCGACCCGCCCAGCGCCCGGGUCCAGAGCGACGUCUGGGUCCUGUCCUCCCACCACAGCUCAGCCCGAUGCUCAGCAAAGCCUUUGUCGCCAGAUACGCGUCAGAGACAGGCCGCCAGGGAGCAGGGGGACCUGAAGCCCCUCCGGGCCCACGUCCUCCCUGGAAGCCGGGUCUGGGCAUGGAGGGUUCAAGCCCCCCAGCCAUCCCCUCCUGUCCCCCAGCGCCGGUGCCAAAGUCAGCAUCGAGCGGAAGGAGCGCGGCCUUAUCUGUGGCUCUGUUUUCCUUGCGGCUCGCGCGCCCCGCUGGCUGCACACUCUCCCC